UAGUCGAAAGGGAAACAGCCCAGACCGCCAGCUAAGGUCCCUAAGUUAUGGCUAAGUGGAAAAGGAAGUGAGAAGGCCAAGACAACCAGGAGGUUGGCUUAGAAGCAGCCAUCCUUUAAAGAAAGCGUAACAGCUCACUGGCAUAAAUUUAAGCCAUCUCGCGCCGAAGAUGUACCGGGGCUCAAGCCAUACACCGAAGCUGCGGACGCAUGCUUGCAUGCGUGGUAGCGGAGCGUUCCGUAAGCCUGUGAAGGUGUACCGCGAGGUAUGCUGGAGGUAUCGGAAGUGAGAAUGCUGACAUGAGUAGCGAUAAACAGUGUGAGAAACACUGUCGCCGAAAGUCCAAGGGUUCCUGUGCAAGGUUAAUCCGCGCAGGGUGAGUCGGCCCCUAAGGCGAGGGCGAAAGCCGUAGUCGAUGGGAAUCAGGUUAAUAUUCCUGAACCUGCUGGUGGUGACGAAUGCCGUAAGUUGUUCUUCCUUAUUGGAUUGGAAGGGCUGCGAAGGCGUUCCAGGAAAUAGCCCCAGCAUUAUAGACCGUACCCGAAACCGACACAGGUGGGCAGGUAGAGAAUACCAAGGCGCUUGAGAGAACUCGGGUGAAGGAACUAGGCAAAAUAGCACCGUAACUUCGGGAGAAGGUGCGCCGCAGACAGUGAUCGGAUUUACUCCGUAAGCUGUCUACGGUCGAAGAUACCAGGUGGCUGCGACUGUUUACUAAAAACACAGCACUCUGCAAACACGUAAGUGGACGUAUAGGGUGUGACGCCUGCCCGGUGCUUGAAGGUUAAUUGAUUGGGUUAGCCCUCUUUUCGAAGAGAGCGAAGCUCAUGAUCGAAGCCCAAGUAAACGGCGGCCGUAACUAUAACGGUCCUAAGGUAGCGAAAUUCCUUGUCGGGUAAGUUCCGACCUGCACGAAUGGCGUAACGAUGGCCACACUGUCUCCACCCGAGACUCAGUGAAAUUGAAUUUGCGGUUAAGAUGCCGUAUACCCGCGGCUAGACGGAAAGACCCCGUGAACCUUUACUACAGCUUUACACUGGACUUUGAUCUUAUCUGUGUAGGAUAGGUGGGAGACUUUGAAACGUGGACGCCAGUUUGCGUGGAGUCAACCUUGAAAUACCACCCUGAUGAUAUUGAGGUUCUAACUUAGGCCCGUUAUCCGGGUUGAGGACAGUGUAUGGUGGGUAGUUUGACUGGGGCGGUCUCCUCCCAAAGAGUAACGGAGGAGCGCGAAGGUACCCUCAGCAUGGUCGGAAAUCAUGCAAUGAGUGCAAUAGCAUAAGGGUGCUUGACUGCGAGACAGACACGUCGAGCAGGUACGAAAGUAGGUUAUAGUGAUCCGGUGGUUCUGCAUGGAAGGGCCAUCGCUCAACGGAUAAAAGGUACUCCGGGGAUAACAGGCUGAUACCGCCCAAGAGUUCACAUCGACGGCGGUGUUUGGCACCUCGAUGUCGGCUCAUCACAUCCCGGGGCUGAAGCCGGUCCCAAGGGUAUGGCUGUUCGCCAUUUAAAGUGGUACGCGAGCUGGGUUUAGAACGUCGUGAGACAGUUCGGUCCCUAUCUGCCGUGGGCGUUUGAGAUUUGAGAGGAGCUGCUCCUAGUACGAGAGGACCGGAGUGGACAAACCUCUGGUGUUCCGGUUGUCACGCCAGUGGCAUUGCCGGGUAGCUAUGUUUGGACAGGAUAACCGCUGAAAGCAUCUAAGCGGGAAGCCUCCCUCAAGAUUAGAUCUCACUGGGAACUUGAUUCCCCUGAAGGGCCCUCGAAGACUACGAGGUUGAUAGGCGGGAUGUGUAAGCGUUGUAAGGCGUUGAGCUAACCCGUACUAAUUGCCCGUGAGGCUUGACCAU
rnacentral:rRNA from 1 species